UACAGAGGUCUCAAGCGUUGUUCGGAUUCAUUGGGCGUAAAGGGUGCGUAGGUGGCGCGCUAAGUCAGGUGUGAAAUUUCGGAGCUUAACUCCGAAACUGCAUUUGAUACUGGCGUGCUUGAGGACUGGAGAGGAGACUGGAAUUCACGGUGUAGCAGUGAAAUGCGUAGAUAUCGUGAGGAAGACCAGUGGCGAAGGCGGGUCUCUGGGCAGUAACUGACGCUGAGGAACGAAAGCGUGGGGAGCGAACAGG
rnacentral:rRNA from 1 species